UGACAGGAUCUCUUGUCACCAUCCUGGUUGCUGUUUUCGUCAUAGCCACUGUCAUUAAAGAAGCUCAGGCAGCUUGUUGUAGAGCUGACAAGGUCGGAUGGUGUGCAGACUGUACUGAGAACACUCCAUAUUGUGGAUAUGUGAAGUGUAAUAUAUUCGGCUGUGCUUGCGACGGAGGCUGCAGAAAGGACUGCAACCCCUGGUACAGCGAUUGGAAUCAACCACCUUUCAUGAAAGGCUAUUACCGAAAAUGCGAAUGCCUAAACAAGAGAUCUGUGGAAGAUAGGACCGGGGGAGGUAUUGUCGCUAGAGAUACAUACCUUAAUUGAUGCAAACAGAUAUGCUCAAAUUCCAAGGUCUAAUUGAUAAGAGGAAAGAAGCUCUGAUUGGUAUUAAUAUUCAAAUAAAAAAAGCCUCACGUUGUCGAGUAAAUGAAGAUAAUGGUGAUUUGUUGGUGUUUAUGCGAACUUUCCUUUUUCGGUUUUCACACAUCAUAUUACUUUGCUUUACCGGCAUGUGCACAUUUUGCCUAAAUAAAUAUUUAUUUCUAUUUCAAAUCCAAUUCGUGAUUUUGUGAGAUGAUAUUUGCAAU
rnacentral:lncRNA from 1 species